GAUGAACGCUAGCGGGAGGCCUAACACAUGCAAGCCGAGCGGUAUUGUUUCUUCGGAAAUGAGAGAGCGGCGUACGGGUGCGGAACACGUGUGCAACCUGCCUUUAUCUGGGGGAUAGCCUUUCGAAAGGAAGAUUAAUACUCCAUAACUUAUUGAACGGCAUCGUUUAAUAUUGAAAGCUCCGGCGGAUAGAGAUGGGCACGCGCAAGAUUAGCUAGUUGGUGAGGUAACGGCUCACCAAGGCGAUGAUCUUUAGGGGGCCUGAGAGGGUGAUCCCCCACACUGGUACUGAGACACGGACCAGACUCCUACGGGAGGCAGCAGUGAGGAAUAUUGGUCAAUGGGUGCAAGCCUGAACCAGCCAUCCCGCGUGAAGGACGACUGCCCUAUGGGUUGUAAACUUCUUUUGUAUAGGGAUAAACCUACCCUCGUGAGGGUAGCUGAAGGUACUAUACGAAUAAGCACCGGCUAACUCCGUGCCAGCCGCCGCCGUAAGAC
rnacentral:rRNA from 1 species